GAGGGUGUAGCUCAGGGGUAGAGUGAGGGCUUAGCAUGCAUAAGGUCCUGGGUUCAAUCCCCAGUACUUCA
rfam:Camelus ferus unplaced genomic scaffold scaffold688, whole genome shotgun sequence.